GUCAACCGCACUAUUUUGGGAGGAAUAUACUCAGCUACUGAGAUAUACAUGCUCACUGAUAGUUCUCCAGAUUUUCAGGAUACAUGGACUUUCUUGGACAACCGUUUGAAAGAUGCUUUCGAUAUAAAGAAAACCGUCCAAGAGGCAAAGUAUCUGGCAGAAGCUGUAGGUGCUGGAAUGGGGAACUCCCUUCAGGGAUUUGUUGGAAAACUUUUCCAAAGAUAGAUAGAUAUUUGACUACAACUUUUAAAGUUUAUAGAGUGAGG
rnacentral:misc_RNA from 1 species